AAUUCUCAACCAUCCCUCGAUUCGUUUCGAGGGUUUGGCUUGGAUUUUGGGGGCUGCCGGGCGACCCUAGGGUCUUCGGCUCUCCUUAAAAGCAUUAGCGAUGGCGGCGCGAUCUAACCCCCAUGCAUGAACGGCCUUCGACGUGAUAAUGAUCGUCGUGGCUGGAGUGUUUAGUGGGUGUCGUGAAGUCGGCGCUUCUAAAGACCUUUGUCGAAAGACGAAAACUCGAA
rnacentral:misc_RNA from 1 species